rnacentral:rRNA from 1 species
AAAGUCUGAUGGAGCAACGCCGCGUGAGUGAUGAAGGUUUUCGGAUCGUAAAACUCUGUUGUAAGGGAAGAACCAGUACGUCAGGCAAUGGACGUACCUUGACGGUACCUUAUUAGAAAGCCACGGCUAACUACGUGCCAGCAGCCGCGGUAAUACGUAGGGUGCGAGCGUUGUCCGGAAUUACUGGGCGUAAAGAGCUCGUAGGCGGUUUGUCGCGUCGUCUGUGAAAUUCUGCAACUCAAUUGCAGGCGUGCAGGCGAUACGGGCAGACUUGAGUACUACAGGGGAGACUGGAAUUCCUGGUGUAGCGGUGAAAUGCGCAGAUAUCAGGAGGAACACCGGUGGCGAAGGCGGGUCUCUGGGUAGUAACUGACGCUGAGGAGCGAAAGCGUGGGGAGCGAACA